GGGACCUUGCCUGAGAAGGUACUUCAGGAACCCGUGAAGGGUGUGGUUUGUCCUCAGCCUCCUUCCCCCAUUCUCUUUGCCUCCUGGCAGCUGUGAGAUAACAUCUUUAAUCAGAGAGCCACUCCUGCUCUUCAGCUCUUCAGCCAAGCACCUCAGAGGAAGCUGAGCCCAUGUGGAGUCCCCAGGGGUGGUCGAGUGAUAAUGUCACUUGUGCCAUAUGUACCCCCUUGGCAGAAUGACGGAUAUGCAAACUAAUUCCAGCUCAUAGAGUGUAAGGGGAGGGCCCGAGGAGCGGCUCACUGGGUGAGAGGCCAGCAUGAGAACUUGACUCCUGAUCCCUGAUAUUUGUACAAAAACUCCAGUGUUUUCAGGCCCAGCACUGGGGGCAGAGACGGGCCAAUGCAGAGAGUGUGGAACAAACCAGCCUGCUCAAAGCAGCAGAUUCUGAUUCAGAGAGAUGCUGUCUCAGGGCAGCAAGGUAGAGAGGGAAAUUACCGAAUGCCUCCCCUCCCCCAACACUCACAUCCUGUAAGAGGAUUUCUGGCGGAGGCAGAGAUCUGGAUGCUCC
rnacentral:lncRNA from 1 species